rnacentral:rRNA from 1 species
UACAGAGGCCUCAAGCGUUGUUCGGAAUCACUGGGCGUAAAGAGCUCGUAGGCGGUUUGUCGCGUCUGCCGUGAAAGUCCGGGGCUCAACUCCGGAUCUGCGGUGGGUACGGGCAGACUAGAGUGAUGUAGGGGAGACUGGAAUUCCUGGUGUAGCGGUGAAAUGCGCAGAUAUCAGGAGGAACACCAAUGGCGAAGGCAGCACUCUGGGACGUGACUGACGCUGAGACGCGAAAGCGUGGGGGAGCAAACAGG